rnacentral:rRNA from 1 species
CAUGUCAUGAAUACAUAGUGGCAUGAGGCGAACCGGGGGAACUGAAACAUCUAAGUACCCCGAGGAAAAGAAAUCAACCGAGAUUCCCCCAGUAGCGGCGAGCGAACGGGGAGGAGCCCAGAACCUGAAUCGGCUUGUGUGUUAGUGGAAGCGUCUGGAAAGUCGCGCAGCAAAGGGUGAUAGCCCCGUACACUAAAAUGCACAGGUCGUGAGUUCGAUGAGUAGGGCGGGACACGUGACAUCCUGUCUGAAUAUGGGGGGACCAUCCUCCAAGGCUAAAUACUCCUGACUGACCGAUAGUGAACCAGUACCGUGAGGGAAAGGCGAAAAGAACCCCGGCG